AUAUGCAUCCAAUUUCUUAGUGUUUUAGUGAUUUAUUCUCAUUACCAUUUUAUAGUUAAAACAUAUACACCGAGUUUCAGGCUGUGGAAAUGGUGAAUUCUUGCAUGGCUGAAAGGACAGAGAUGAAAAUUGAAGAAGGGAUUGAGAGGAGCAACGACAUGUGGAGAGGAGCAGAGCAUCUUGGCAAAUUCAUUUGUUGGGACCUAGAGUAGCUAAUGUGAUAUGAAGUUUAACUUGUAUGAAACUCAUGACUUUGUAUUUGAUGUGAUUUUGGAUGAAAACAUGACUUACUAUUUGUAUCGGUGUGCUGGAAUAAGUGCAGUAUAAUUUGAUGUCU